rnacentral:rRNA from 1 species
UACGUAGGGACCAAGCGUUGUUCGGAUUUACUGGGCGUAAGGGGCGCGUAGGCGGCUUGUCAAGUCACUUGUGAAAUCUCUGGGCUUAACCCAGAACGGCCAAGUGAAACUGACAUGCUAGAGUGCAGAAGGGGCAAUCGGAAUUCUUGGUGUAGCGGUGAAAUGCGUAGAUAUCAAGAGGAACACCUGAGGUGAAGACGGGUUGCUGGGCUGACACUGACGCUGAGGCGCGAAAGCCAGGGGAGCAAACGGG